rnacentral:rRNA from 1 species
UGAGGAAUAUUGGUCAAUGGGCGAGAGCCUGAACCAGCCAAGUCGCGUGAAGGAAGACAGUCCUAAGGAUUGUAAACUUCUUUUAUACGGGAAUAACGGGCGAUACGAGUAUUGCAUUGAAUGUACCGUAAGAAUAAGCAUCGGCUAACUCCGUGCCAGCAGCCGCGGUAAUACGGAGGAUGCGAGCGUUAUCCGGAUUUAUUGGGUUUAAAGGGUGCGUAGGUUGUUCGGUAAGUCAGCGGUGAAACCUGAGCGCUCAACGUUCAGCCUGCCGUUGAAACUGCCGGGCUUGAGUUCAGUGGCGGCAGGCGGAAUUCGUGGUGUAGAGGUGAAAUGCAUAGAUAUCACGAGGAACUCCGAUUGCGAAGGCAGCUUGCCAUACUGCGACUGACACUGAAGCACGAAGGCGUGGGUAUCAAACAGG